rnacentral:piRNA from 1 species
UUGCAGAGCCACAACCCAUAUCACAG